rnacentral:rRNA from 1 species
UACAGAGGUCCCAAGCGUUGUUCGGAUUCACUGGGCGUAAAGGGUGCGUAGGUGGCCAGGUAAGUUCGGUGUGAAAGCUCGGAGCUUAACUCCGAAAUGGCAUUGAAUACUAUCUGGCUAGAGGGUCGGAGGGGAGACUGGAAUUCUCGGUGUAGCAGUGAAAUGCGUAGAUAUCAAGAGGAACACCUGCGGCGAAGGCGGGUUGCUGGGCCGACACUGACGCUGAGGCGCGAAAGCCAGGGGAGCGAACGGG